GAUGAACGCUGGCGGCGUGCCUAAUACAUGCAAGUCGAGCGAACGGACGAGAAGCUUGCUUCUCUGAUGUUAGCGGCGGACGGGUGAGUAACACGUGGAUAACCUACCUAUAAGACGGGGAUAACUUCGGGAAACCGGAGCUAAUACCGGUUAAUAUUUUGAACCGCAUGGUUCAAAAGUGAAUGACGGUCUUGCUGUCACUUAUAGAUGGAUCCGCGCUGCAUUAGCUAGUUGGUAAGGUAACGGCUUACCAAGGCAACGAUGCAUAGCCGACCUGAGAGGGUGAUCGGCCACACUGGAACUGAGACACGGUCCAGACUCCUACGGGAGGCAGCAGUAGGGAAUCUUCCGCAAUGGGCGAAAGCCUGACGCAGCCACGCCGCGUGAGUGAUGAAGGUCUUCGGAUCGUAAAACUCUGUUAUUAGGGAAGAACAUAUGUGUAAGUAACUGUGCACAUCUUGACGGUACCUAAUCAGAAAGCCACGGCUAACUACGUG
rnacentral:rRNA from 1 species